rnacentral:rRNA from 1 species
CAGUAGCCGCGGGAAUACGUAGGGCGCAAGCGUUGUCCGGAAUUAUUGGGCGUAAAGAGCUCGUAGGCGGUCUGUCGCGUCUGGUGUGAAAUCCCGAGGCUCAACCUCGGGCUUGCAUCGGGUACGGGCAGACUAGAGUGCGGUAGGGGAGACUGGAAUUCCUGGUGUAGCGGUGGAAUGCGCAGAUAUCAGGAGGAACACCGAUGGCGAAGGCAGGUCUCUGGGCCGCAACUGACGCUGAGGAGCGAAAGCAUGGGGAGCGAACAGGAUUAGAUACCCGGGUAGUCCCUGUCUCUUAUAA